CAGGAUGCUGGAGAAUGUCUGUUGCAUUUAAUGGAAACACUUACUGAAACACUAGAAACUGAAGAAAGGGAAUCUACUAAUCUUAUCAAGAGACUUUUUGGAGUUGAUCUUUUGAGCAGUUUGAGUUCUGAAGGUGGGGAGACUGUUGAUUACCUGAAUUGCUUAAUGCCUAAGGAUGUAAAUGGUUUUCUUAAAGGGCUUGAUCUUG